CCUACGGGUGGCAGCAGUGAGGAAUAUUGGUCAAUGGGCGGAAGCCUGAACCAGCCAAGUAGCGUGCAGGAUGACGGCCCUACGGGUUGUAAACUGCUUUUAUACGGGAAUAACGCGCCUUACGUGUAGGGCUUUGCAUGUACCGUAUGAAUAAGGACCGGCUAAUUCCGUGCCAGCAGCCGCGGUAAUACGGAAGGUCCGGGCGUUAUCCGGAUUUAUUGGGUUUAAAGGGAGCGUAGGGGGGAUGUUAAGUGUGCUGUGAAAUGUUCGGGCUCAACCCGGGCCUUGCAAUGGAGACUGGCAGACUUGAGUACGCGGGAGGGAGGCGGAAUUCGUGGUGUAGCGGUGAAAUGCUUAGAUAUGACGAAGAACCCCGAUUGCGAAGGCAGCUUACUGGAGCGGAACUGACGCUGAUGGUCGAAAGCGCGGGUAUCGAACAGGAUUAGAUACCCCAGUAGUC
rnacentral:rRNA from 1 species